GGCCAGACUCCUACGGGAGGCAGCAGUGAGGAAUAUUGGUCAAUGGGCUUACGCCUGAACCAGCCAAGUCGCGUGAGGGAAGACUGCCCUAUGGGUUGUAAACCUCUUUUGCCGGGGAGCAGAGGUCCGGACGUGUCCGGGCCGGGAGAGUACCCGGAGAAAAAGCAUCGGCUAACUCCGUGCCAGCAGCCGCGGUAAUACGGAGGAUGCGAGCGUUAUCCGGAUUUAUUGGGUUUAAAGGGUGCGUAGGCGGGCAUUUAAGCCGGCGGUCAAAUGUCGGGGCUCAACCCCGGCCUGCCGUCGGAACUGGGUGCCUUGAGUGGGCGAGAAGUAUGCGGAAUGCGUGGUGUAGCGGUGAAAUGCAUAGAUAUCACGCAGAACCCCGAUUGCGAAGGCAGCAUACCGGCGCCCUACUGACGCUGAGGCACGAAAGUGCGGGUAUCGAACAGGAUUAGAUACCCGUGUAUC
rnacentral:rRNA from 1 species